GGGAAAGAGCUUGCUCUUUCUGGAACUGAGUGGCAAACGGGUGAGUAACACGUAAACAACCUGCCUUCAGGAUGGGGACAACAGACGGAAACGACUGCUAAUACCGAAUAAGUUCCAAGAGCCGCAUGGCCCAUGGAAGAAAAGGUGGCCUCUACCUGUAAGCUAUCGCCUGAAGAGGGGUUUGCGUCUGAUUAGCUGGUUGGAGGGGUAACGUCCCACCAAGGCGACGAUACAGUAGCCGGUCUGAGAGGAUGAACGGCCACACUGGAACUGAGACACGGUCCAGACUCCUACGGGAGGCAGCAGUGGGGAAUCUUCCGCAAUGGGCGAAAGCCUGACGGAGCAAACGCCGCGUGAGUGAUGACGGGCCUUUCGGGGUUGUAAAAACUCUGUGAUUCCC
rnacentral:rRNA from 1 species